GCCCAAUAUUUCCCCCUUCUCUCGAAGCGUCCAGGCGACAUCGAGCCAUCCUCCACCGUUGCGCCGCCGUGCUCACCCCACACCGUCCGGUCGUGCUCGCCCCCGUCCAGAUCCACCACGCAUGGUCUAUGCAGAUCGUUGCUCUCCUACACUGCCGCCUCUCCUUGCCGCCAGAGGGACAGAGAACAGGGGGAUUGAGACCGUGGAGGAAAGGCUACAGGUGUCGGCGCCGCCCAACAGGAGCCCGUGAUGGCCGGUCGGCUCGGACGACAGCGCCGGCAUCUACAUGACCUUGAUGAAGUCCGACCCCAGCUCCACCUCUGCACUGGCCAUGACACCAUGACGCCCCAGCUACCUAGGUUCUGAAACUAGACAGCCAAAAUGUCAAUACUUUAUAUGAAAGGGCUCAAGCUUACACUCAUCUUGCUAACCUGGAGUUAGAAUAGGUUGACAUUAAGAAGGCACUAGAAAUCGAUCCUGAAAACAGGCAAGUUCCAUUGAAUGGUCUAUUAUAUAAACCUUAAUUUAAUACUUAGAACUUUACACUGUCAAUUUGAUUUUGAUGUCGCCGCUACUUACUUAAUUUGAUACUAAGAAGCAUGCACUGUCAAUUUGAUUUUGAUGUCGCAGCAACUUACAGGGAUGUGAAGUUAACAUACAAUGCUGAAGGAGAAGAUCAAGGAAAUCAAUAAGGAUGCCGAUUUCUACAGCGAUAUGUUUGCCAUGAUGUUGGCUAGCUGUAGCAAAUUGUAGCUAGCUAGCCAAUUUUAGACAAACAUGCAGUGGUUGGUUAGUUUAGUUAGCCUGUUGUAGCUAAUUGUAGCUAGCUAGCCUAAUUCUGGACAAACAUGCGGUGCUGGUGAUAUUAUGGCAUCUGAUGUGUAUAUGUGAUUACUGAUAUCCGGAGUUAUCUAUAUUAAUUAUAUGAUUUGA